rnacentral:rRNA from 1 species
AUGCAGUCGAGCGAUUCUCUUCGGAGAAGAGCGGCGGACGGGUGAGUAACGCGUGGGUAACCUGCCCUGUACACACGGAUAACAUACCGAAAGGUAUGCUAAUACGGGAUAAAAUAUUUUGAUCGCAUGGUCGGAAUAUCAAAGCUCCGGCGGUACAGGAUGGACCCGCGUCUGAUUAGCUGGUUGGUAAGGUAACGGCUUACCAAGGCGACGAUCAGUAGCCGACCUGAGAGGGUGAUCGGCCACAUUGGAACUGAGACACGGUCCAAACUCCUACGGGAGGCAGCAGUGGGGAAUAUUGCACAAUGGGCGAAAGCCUGAUGCAGCAACGCCGCGUGAGCGAUGAAGGCCUUCGGGUCGUAAAGCUCUGUCCUCAAGGAAGAUAAUGACGGUACUUGAGGAGGAAGCCCCGGCUAACUACGUGCCAGCAGCCGCGGUAAUACGUAGGGGGCUAGCGUUAUCCGGAAUUACUGGGCGUAAAGGGUGCGUAGGUGGUUUCUUAAGUCAGAGGUGAAAGGCUACGGCUCAACCGUAGUAAGCCUUUGAAACUGAGAGACUUGAGUGCAGGAGAGGAGAGUAGAAUUCCUAGUGUAGCGGUGAAAUGCGUAGAUAUUAGGAGGAAUACCAGUUGCGAAGGCGGCUCUCUGGACUGUAACUGACACUGAGGCACGAAAGCGUGGGGAGCAAACAGGAUUAGAUACCCUGGUAGCCCACGCCGUAAACGAUGAGUACUAGCUGUCGGAGGUUACCCCCUUCGGUGGCGCAGCUAACGCAUUA